GCAUCGUUCAGCUCUUCCCCUCCACGUUUCCAUCAUGCAAAGGGCAACUCCUCCAAGAACAUCUCCUCAGACCUUCAAAAGAGAGAACCCAGGCCAUAAAUCGUCACUCACCCUUCUCUCCUCACCUUUCCUCUCGUCCCUGGACACAUCAGUCUGUUUACGAGCCCAAAAACACCUAGUUAGAGACCUCCGAUGAAAAAACUUUCUUCACCAAAGUUGUUCGUCUAUGUCUCCUCUAUUUAGCCUCAAAAUUUCAGCUCCGUCGGAGUCGAUUUGAGUCCUGUACACCGCUCGAAGCGGAAGCUGUUCUGAAACGAGCCUGUUCCGGAUUUCUGCUUGAAUUUCCUCUCUUGCUCUAUCCGAAUCCCUCACGUCUUACUUGAGACUGGUACAAACACUUGUCUCUGUUUCACUUUGCAUGUUCGAGAUUGAGCGAACUUCUUGGCCUGUGGUUGGAUUCGAUCCAAUCAGCUCCCUCAGCUCUCUUUCCUGUUGAAAUCCUCAAGAGAAGCUCACCUUUUUGAUUAGUCUUUGGAUCUUGUGAAGUGGUGGUUGCUACAAGGUUGCAUUGAGGCCAAGUGCUGCAAGAGAAAGCUCGAGUUCCAGGUAGGGGAUGCCUUUAACUCUAUCUAUGCUUUUCUUGCAUAUACUAUGUUUUAUAUGAGGCCUCUUGCAUGUUUUGGAAAUUAUCUGUUUUUACAACUUGAAAUGGUUUGCGUGGAUUGGAUUGAUGUGUUGGCAAUUGAUGGGGAUGUAAGGAGAGGUCAGUUCCUCCUUGAGCCACCGGUGGUGGGCAGUGUGCACCAUGCCCUUGUUAUCUCCCCUUUGUCUCUAGCCUUGUGAUUAAUGAAUUCCGGAAAGUGAUUGGCUAGAUGGACGGUUGUGAUGGAAGUGUGAAAGAUGAUCAAUUGCCGUGGGAUUGUAGUUACGUGGUGACGAUCACGUGGAAGCGCAAACCGGUUUUAUCUACUUCUUUUAUUCAAAACAAUAACUCAUAUUUUUAAACUUAGAUAUGGGGGCGGGCAUGGGCAAUGACUGGAUGUAGGAGCCUAACCCCUACUUUAGUUUGUUUUGCAGGCUGUUGUUGUUGAAGCUUGGGCACGGAGGAUAAUCCUUGGAGGACACAAUUUGUUUUACUCUAUUUAAAGUUUAUUUCCUUUCGGCUUGCUUGAUUUCACUAAAGUUUUGUAACAUUAUGUAUGGUUGAUGAUGUGUGUGCUUGCUUACCACCAAAGUGGAACCCUAGGGUUAGAACCUCCAUUUGAAUUUAGGUCCUAGUGGGCUAGACCUAGAAGACUCACAUAAAUUACCAUUUAAUGAACUUAAUGCAAACUUGGGGCUAAGAACUAAAAAUUGACAUAGGUUCUAAAACUCAACUCAACACCA